rnacentral:lncRNA from 1 species
AUCUUUUAACCACAGUUCCAAAUAACCCUACAAAUUUGCGAUAAAUAAUCUACAAAAUUGAGUCAAUAUCACAAUUAUCCAAAAAACACUUCAACACCGAAAAAACACUUGUAGAAUAUUUUUUGACAAAAAAAAUUAAACUACAAAAUAGUGAGGACAAAUAAAAAUUGUUUACCUUUAAUGAAAUUUUUUGAGGAACCAA